rnacentral:tRNA from 1 species
AAUUAGAUAGUUUAAUUAAAAAUAAAAAUUUGUGGAAUUUUUGAUAUCUUUAGAUUCUAGUUU